rnacentral:lncRNA from 1 species
GCGCAUGCAUCUCGUGCGUGACAACUGCAGCUCAAUUCGCAAAUGCAUACGGUAUAGUCCCUGUUGGGCGUAGCCUUCUGAUUUGACCUUCUCAAACUGAAGGAACUCGUUGACGGAUGGUAAAAGCGCGUCUUGGCGGUUAGGAGGCGAAAUGGCAAGGGGGACCGACUGGCUGCACGUUCGCGCUCUGUUGCCCAUCUGAUCUCAGGCGCCGAAACGUAUAGCAGCGAAACACCCUACGGCUGCUCAAUGGGCCACACGCCGUCCGAGCGGGCAGGCAGAGACCCAAGACGUUCUGCCCAUGCGGCGCGACAGCGGCCUGCUGCGUGUCCAUUGGCCGACGGCGUGGGAAUACGAUGCGCGAUACAAAUGUGCAGGGCUUCUCAAACCACCACCAUCUCGCAACCAUUUCCGCUAGCUUGACAAUGCGCCGUACUUUCAGUCCUG